GAUUGAGGUUAGGCAUUUGGGGCAGGAGCACUGCUGAAGCAAUGUGUCCUCGUUGCACCGUAUCAGGAGGCAUAUGGUGUUGAUACGUUUCAUUAUUGUGAUGUUAACUUUGAUCAUUGGGUGAAGGUGGUACGUGCAAUGUUUCUUCCCUGCUAUUAAGGUACUGUUUUUCCCUUUGUAAUUGAUAAGUAUCUUAUGAGGAUAUACUUUUGAGAUCCAAUUUUUUUAACUUAGAAUUUAUUCAAAAGUCAAGAAUCUUAAAUCUCUGAAAUGGCGUGGGAAGAAAAAGUGCUAGAUACACAGAGAUCUUUCUUGAGUCAUGUGAAGGAGCAGUGCCCAAGCCCAGCAAACCCACAGCAAAUUCCCUUGGCUUCCAGAAGAGAUGGAGAAAGCAGUGCCCCCAGUGGAGGGUCAAAGGCCUCUGUGCAGGGUGUUGUGGGCCUGGAGAGCUGGCCUGGCCAUGUCUUUACCUCCUCUGGGCAUCUCCCCACCCCAACACCCUUUCUGUGGCCUGGUGGCUGAGUUGCAGCCGACACCCAGAGGCAGGGCAUCGAGCGCCUCAAACGAAAGAACCAGCCCAGGGAGCACAUGGGGAGCUGGCAGUCAGUAAAGGAGACCUUUGGUGGGGACUUCUCCCUGAACUGGUUCAACCCCUUCUCCAGACCGUGUCAGCCAGAGAUCCCCAGUGACAAAGACAUGGUGCGGCAGGUGACAUCGCUGUCAGACACCGAAACAAUGGAGGAUCCAUCAGAGGAGACAAAGGACGAGGACUCUGUGGAGGUGACAGAUGAAUAGAUGCUGCUGUGGGGAGAGAAGCAAACACUAAAAAGUGCUGUCAACCUUCAUCCUGGGGUUUUGGCUAAAGGGGCUUAUGGGCAUGGUGCGCUCCCAGCACCCCCAGUGCUUCCCUUAGCCACUCGCUUGGCCUUGCCAUUUCCCCUCCUUCUUCUCUCCAUGUUGGGCCAGGUCUGGGGGUCGGGAGUAGGCUGGGGACAUCAGAGGAGGAUGGGGGCUUUCUCAGAGUUCAUCUAAGAAGAGUCUGCACUGAGACGGCUCAUCAAGAACCGUUCUCCAAGACUGGGUGGCUUUCACAUUCUCCGCCCAGCAAAGGGAGCUUUUGAACAGGGCAUCCCAGGGGCAGAAAAGAGCUUGCCUUUGGCUUUCCCCAGGAUUUCUGUCUUCUCUUGGGAAGGCUGGGCCCCUGGCUCCUGGCUUUGAGAAGUAAGGUUGUGACAGAAGGACCGGGCAGGGCUUGCCUUGGGGACCUGGGUUGGGACACUG
rnacentral:lncRNA from 10 species